AUUGAACGCUGGCGGCAGGCCUAACACAUGCAAGUCGAACGAGUGGCGUACGGGUGAGUAAUGUCUGGGAAACUGCCUGAUGGAGGGGGAUAACUACUGGAAACGGUAGCUAAUACCGCAUACCAUCAGAUGUGCCCAGAUGGGAUUAGCUUGUGGGUGGGGUAACGGCUCACCUAGGCGACGCUCCCUAGCUGGUCUGAGAGGAUGACCAGCCACACUGGAACUGAGACACGGUCCAGACUCCUACGGGAGGCAGCAGUGGGGAAUAUUGCACAAUGGGCGCAAGCCUGAUGCAGCCAUGCCGCGUGUAUGAAGAAGGCCUUCGGGUUGUAAAGUACUUUCAGCGGGGAGGCGUUACCCGCAGAAGAAGCACCGGCUAACUCCGUGCCAGCAGCCGCGGUAAUUC
rnacentral:rRNA from 1 species